UUCGUGAAUUAUGUUCAUGCCUGGUACCAGACGAGGCCAGAAGAGGACAAUGGAUUCCCUGGGACCGGAGUUACAGAUAGAGCUUCCAUGUGGGUGUGGAGAAACAAACCAAGUCUUCUAGAAGAACACCAGUUACUGUCUGCAGUUCUUCAUUUAGGUGUGGAACCUUGUGAAAUUUCCCUGUCCACAUUGGGAGAAGAGGAUGUAUAAGAAGACUGAAGGAAGGAAGAGAAGAGGAGUGUGGCGGGGAAGCUCACACAUCCUUGCUCUUACUGGAAGUAGGGAAACACACUGAAUAUUCUUAGGCACUUUCAUAUGACAUAUGUUUUGUAUUCUUCAUCUCAUGUGAACCUCACUGUUUCUACUUUGUGGAAAAAUUAAUCAACAUUGCUGAAGUGAAGUCCUUUGCCUGUGAAUAUACAAGUGAUAGGAAAUGGAAU